AUUGAACGCUGGCGGAAUGCUUUACACAUGCAAGUCGAACGGCAGCACGGACUCCGGUCUGGUGGCGUGUGGCGAACGGGUGAGUAAUGUAUCGGAACGUGCCCAGUCGUGGGGGAUAACGUAGUGAAAAUUACGCUAAUACCGCAUACGAUCUAUGGAUGAAAGCGGGGGAUCGCAAGACCUCGCGCGAUUGGAGCGGCCGAUAUCAGAUUAGGUAGUUGGUGGGGUAAAGGCCCACCAAGCCAACGAUCUGUAGCUGGUCUGAGAGGACGACCAGCCACACUGGAACUGAGACACGGUCCAGACUCCUACGGGAGGCAGCAGUGGGGAAUUUUGGACAAUGGGCGAAAGCCUGAUCCAGCCAUUCCGCGUGCAGGAUGAAGGCCCUCGGGUUGUAAACUGCUUUUGUACAGAACGAAAAGGUUUCUACUAAUACUAGGAGCUCAUGACGGUACUGUAAGAAUAAGCACCGGCUAACUACGUGCCAGCCGCCGCAGUAA
rnacentral:rRNA from 1 species